rnacentral:lncRNA from 1 species
GAUGCAUACUAUGUAAGAAAAGUUGGAAGCUUAACGCAUGUUUCUUACUAAAUUCAUACAAGAGGCGGAGUAUAUCACUUGUAGCAUAACCUUUACCCUUUUUUUGGAUCUAACUUUCAUCGAUGAUAUGAAAGUUGGUGAUCAUGCCCGCCCUCUCUGCGUAUAUCGUAAUAAUCAGAUAGCCACCGCACUAAUUGUCUUCGCUUGUUUGUCCACGGGACUUUGGUCAUGAAACCGGCGGCAGUCACAUGUUAACAUGAGUUGUAUAUUUUUUUAAGUCUCAUUGGGAUGGGGGGCAUCCCAAUCGCUCCCAUUCUGUUCCUGAAAAAAACUGGAACCGUUCCAUCAAAAAAGAAAAAAACUGGAACCGGGAUAAGGUCAGUAUUCUAAAAUCUAUCUAUAUGGUCAAGAGAAGAAUGAAAGAAAGGAAAAAUUGUAGAAAAAGAAAAAGUGGAAGAGAAGAAUGA